ACAGUUGUUCCAAGGGGACUGCCCCUUAACAAGCUCCCUGGAUGUAAGGGUAACUCACACCAUUGAUAAUGAGAAGACUCAACGGAGCUCAUUAUGAGCUACAGCCCAUCCCUGCUAACCUGCCCCAUCCUGCUCCAUCUGCAUCUCCAAAUGAAGGACAGGACGCGAGCAUUGCUUCCUUCUUUGGACAGCGCAUGAUAAUGAAGCUCCUGAGCGAGGACUUUGAGCUGAUGUUUGAUGCUGAUGUCGUGGUGGAUCAUGAUAAAUUCAUGAUCCUUGCAGUGUGAAGCUCUGACAAUAAAAUGGACAUGCUGCUAGAGGAAGCAGAGAAGCUCCUAUUCAAUGGCACAACUAAACAAGAUUUCACUCAUUAUUGCAGAUAAGUAAAAAAAGGAAUGUUAUUUUUUAUUUCAUAACUAGUUGUUCUAUGCUUCAGCGUUUUUGUGUUAUCUACAGUUCACUGUGGAAAGAAGACAUUAUCAAAUCUAAGGCUUCUUUCCACUUAUGACUUUCAAACACAUUUAAUUGUGUGUGCUGGAUGAUGUUAAGGGAUCAAAGCCUUUGUUGUUAAAUUUGAAGAUGAAACCACUGGACUAUUAUUAGCUGUAUGUGCACUAAAUCUGUAGUGGGAGUUUUUUCCUGCCUGUCAGCAACAGCACAUCAGGCAGCGUAGGAUUGUUUAUACCAAGGUUAUCAUGAGGACCCCUCCAAUGCUACAUGAACCCUCAGCUUUAGUUCCAGUCUGCUGAUCAUUUUACAACUAAUGAUAUGCAACAUGUGUAUGUAACGAUUAUCAGCCUCUUUCAAAUAUAUAUCAAUAAAAUGACUUCUAGGUGAAGCAUGAAUCUCACCUUUCUAUUGAGUUUUUAAUUAUUGCAAUCUAAAAAGUUGAAGAGGAGGUUUAUUUUUAUUUUUCAUGACUUUUAGGGCCUGAUCUUCAAAAGGUUUGCAUGUAUAAAAACCGACCAAACUCGAUUGCAUGCGCAAAGCGGAUCUACAAGCUAGUUGCAAAUCGAAUUGUGUGUGUAAAAUGAGCGGUACAGCGGGCACAAGCUUUUUUAGCGUUUGUCUUCAUGAACAUGCAAAACAUAUGCUAACAACCCAAACGCACAAAUUUAGGAGGAGGAGCAAUUUAUAAAAUCUGAAACAGAUUGCGCGUGCAGUUUUUGCAUCCAUAUUUAGUAAGUCUGAAAGGCAGUUACAAACUAGCAUGCAAAAAUCUCAUCGGUCAUUGAGGUGAGGAGGCAUUGAUACAUAGAAAGACGACGAUUAUUGCCUCCAAUUCCAUGACAUCAAACUAAUCUUUCUUAUAUGGCCGCUUUGCGCUCUCAAACUGUCCAUGAUGACAACAAGUAGCAUGAGCAAAAUUCUCAUUUUAAUAGGAUGGUCAGCACCACUUUUACACCUGUUAUCCAUUGCACUCACAAUCUUUAUAGAUUGUCCGCAACACGCCCACUUAUUGUACGUGCAAUUUUUUUUUUACACAAGCAAUUUAAGGCUCCUUAUUUGCAAUCUUUGAAGAUCAGGCUCUUAUUGUUUGGAAAAAAUAAACUGAAAAUUAACAGUUUAAUAAAGAUUAUGAGAAGAAAUCUCACAUCUGAUAUUUUUCAACCUCUACUUAUUAGUAACGGGAAAUAGUAAAGUGAGUCUAAAUAACUUAUACAACAAACAUUUAACAUGACUAUGACAUAACUAAGCUAGACACUACAUGUGGACUCAGUUGGAAAGGGAGCUUUUUUGUUUUUACAAAAAAGCUGAUUAAACAGCUGUUUGUGUAAUUUACAUGUUUUAGGUGGAAGAUGUUUUUUGUUGGUCUAAUUAGGUGUUUUCUGACUGUCAUUUUAAAGAAAAGUUUGAUAGAGGAAAAGAUCUUAAGGUUUCGGAAGCUCACUUGAAAAGCAACGAAGAGGUCAGCACGUCACGGAUACAACAGUAAAUGGUGUGCUUACUUGUGUCAGACAAGGUCUUGUUGUUUUGAGGACAUCAGUGAUCGUAUUCCCUCUUUAAAUGAUGCUGGUGCCUCCAGCAGUCAUUGAGCGAGAGGCGGGGUACACCUUGGACAGAUCACCAGUCCAUGGCAGGGACACACAUUUGUACCUAAGGGCAAUUUUAACUUUGAAUUGUUUAAUUAAAAAACUUCAUGAUAUAA